UAGAAAGGGCCUCCACCAUUAUUGGCGGGU
rnacentral:sRNA from 1 species